rnacentral:rRNA from 1 species
AUUGAACGCUGGCGGCAGGCCUAACACAUGCAAGUCGAACGAGUGGCGGCCGGGUGAGUAAUGACUGGGGAACUGCCUGAUGGAUGGGGAUAACUACUGGACACGGUAGCUAAUACCGCAUACAAUCGGAUGUGCCCAGCUGGGAUUAGCUAGUGGGUGCGGUAAAGGCUUACCUAGGCCACGAUCCUUCGCUGGUCUGAGAGGAUGACCAGCGACACUGGGACUGAGACACGGCCCAGACUCCUACGGGAGGCAGCAGUGGGGAAUAUUGCACAAUGGGCGCAAGCCUGAUGCAGCCAUGCCGCGUGUAUGAAGAAGGCCUUCGGGUUGUAAAGUACUUUCAGCGGGGAGGCGUUACUCGCAGAAGAAGCACCGGCUAACUCCGUGCCAGCAGCCGCGGUAAUAC